CUCCAAAUGCUGUUGCUCCCGAUAUCGAUGAAAGUCAAACGGUCCACCGUUUGGCUAAUCAGGGGCCUCCUGCAAGUGUCCCUACAGAAUGGAUGCAUCCCAGAUUUUCUAUUUUUUCCAAGCAUAACUCCGUCAGAGAUGUCUUAAUGGAGGAGCGUGGGGCAAUUUCAACACACUGUGAUGUUGAUGCAUAUCAUGUAUUUGCACCAUCACCUCAGGGAAGAAAUAACACACAGGGAUUGCAACUACGCGUUGACGUCGCCUC